rnacentral:lncRNA from 1 species
UUUGUCCUCCAUUUACCCAUUCAUUGUCUACACCGAGUGCGACAUUCACAUUUUGAGGUCCAUUGGCACCACCAGGGCAAAUCUUAACCCAAGCAGUUAUCUGAUAUGUCAAGAACAGCUUCACUUUCUCGGUGAUUGUUUGUGCAGGUCCCAUCCAAGUUUGUGUUCUAUUCGUGACAGCUAUGCACCGGCCGCUUAGAGGCUCGUGAACUCCAAGAGAUUCUCUUGCCAUCGGAGCAAUUACAUGAGGUGAACCAGUUGCAACACUUAGAAAACAAUUGCCAAGAGGAAACCAACCAUUGGUUCCAGCACUCAGAUUGCUGUUAUGAAGUAUGUUCACUCCAAAUGCAGGGUGCUGUAAAACCAUAUAUCAUGUCUCAGUGUUCAAAUGUGUUCCAAAUAUUCUCAACAAUAAGACGAGUUAAAACUAGUGGAAAAUGGUUGAGUUGAGGUUGGGAGGAACUGUGAAAAGUUAGAGUAAGGGGAAAUAAAGGAUUCCUAGGAAAGUCAAAUUCCCUUUGAGUAGAUUAGGAAAACAAAAUUCCACUUGGAAUCCUUAUAUCCCGUAAUUCAAGUUUCUUUCCACAACUCUUUCCAAAUCCAACUCAACUUCUUACACUAAUAUUAACUCAACUGUCCUAUUGGCAAACUUAACGUUUAUGUUGAAUAAUGAAAGUUCCUUUCGAUCCAAACCCGGUAAAGGUGGGGAACAGAACGAGCUUGCAAGGCGGAAACUAACCUCGAUUCGAAGAGGUGAGGGAAGGACUUUCUUUGCACGUUUCAGAGUGAAGCUAUUUACGAGAACAUCAGUCCCUGGAGGUGGACCUUCCAGGUACACAACUAUUUUCUUAGGAGAGCCAUUCAAAAGGAACUUCCCCUGCAGCUUUACCCAAUCUGAGUCUUUUGCCUGCAACCUGCACAGCAAAAUGUAACAUAUAAAAUGUGUGGUGACUUGUAAAAAAUGUAAGAGGCACACAGUACUAGAAGGGUAACAUAAGUUGAAGCCAGAAGAAAAGACACUAACUUUGCAAUGCCGAUAUAUUCUUCUCGGUUAUCCGGAUUUUGCACCCACAAAGUAGCUUGUACAUCAGCACAAGUGACAUUGUUGCCAUAAAUCCGCACUAUAGCAGUGACUUCAUACACAAGCUUCCUCUGUACUCUCCCGGUUAUUUCCUGUUGAAUUCCGUGCCAGCUCGCCGUACGUCCUGUUGCUACUACAAUGACUUUGCUGGACUCGUGUACAAUUUUCCUGUCAGCUGUCGAAUUGUGUACUAGGAUCUUGCACCCUCUACCAGACCAAUUGUUCAAGCCAUCCUCAAAGUUGUGAUUUAAUAUGAGGUUCUCAUCUUCAUUUUCAGAACUCCCAUGACUAAUCCUCGCACCCUGUUGAAAUAAUGGUGCUUACUUUGUGAUUACCGACUCAACAUGGAAGCACAACAUAAGGAAACAGACCAAUAGUAGCAUUCAAUGUCAGCAGUUCCAUGCAGUAUGCAGCAGAAAGUUCAGUACAACUUGCUCAUAUCAUACAUGCAGCUUCACUUUCUCGGUGAUUGUUUGUGCAGGUCCCAUCCAAGUUUGUGUUCUAUUCGUGACAGCUAUGCACCGGCCGCUUAGAGGCUCGUGAACUCCAAGAGAUUCUCUUGCCAUCGGAGCAAUUACAUGAGGUGAACCAGUUGCAACACUUAGAAAACAAUUGCCAAGAGGAAACCAACCAUUGGUUCCAGCACUCAGAUUGCUGUUAUGAAGUAUGUUCACUCCAAAUGCAGGG